rnacentral:rRNA from 1 species
UACGUAGGGGGCAAGCGUUGUCCGGAUUUAUUGGGCGUAAAGAGCGUGUAGGCGGCCAGGUAGGUCCGUUGUGAAAACUCGAGGCUCAACCUCGAGACGUCGGCGGAAACCCUCUGGCUAGAGUCCGGAAGAGGAGAGUGGAAUUCCUGGUGUAGCGGUGAAAUGCGCAGAUAUCAGGAAGAACACCCGUGGCGAAGGCGGCUCUCUGGAACGGUACUGACGCUGAGACGCGAAAGCGUGGGGAGCGAACAGG